AGCGGCAACAGCUCAAAUUUGAAAUCUGGCCCUUUCAGGGUCCGAGUUGUAAUUUGUAGAGGGUGCUUUGGUGUUGGCCGUGGUCUAAGUUCCUUGGAACAGGACGUCACAGAGGGUGAGAAUCCCGUACGUGGCCGCCGGUCUUCACCGUGUAAAGCCCCUUCGACGAGUCGAGUUGUUUGGGAAUGCAGCUCUAAAUGGGAGAUAAAUUUCUUCUAAAGCUAAAUAUUGGCCAGAGACCGAUAGCGCACAAGUAGAGUGAUCGAAAGAUGAAAAGCACUUUGGAAAGAGAGUCAAAAAGCACGUGAAAUUGUUGAAAGGGAAGCGCUUGCAGCCAGACGUGCCCGCAGUUGCUCACCUGGGCUUUUGCCCGGGGCAUUCUUCUGCGGGCAGGCCAGCAUCAGUUCGGGCGGUUGGAUAAAGGCCUCUAUCACGUACCAUCCUUCGGGAUGUCCUUAUAGGGGAGGCGCAACACGACCAGCCUGAACUGAGGACCGCGCAUUUGCUAGGAUGCUGGCGUAAUGGCUGUAAGCGGCCCGUCUUGAAACACGGACCAAGGAGUCUAACAUCUAUGCGAGUGUUUGGGUGUAAAGCCCGGACGCGCAAUGAAAGUGAACGGAGGUGGGAACCCCUCGGGGUGCACCAUCGACCGAUCCUGAAGUCUUCGGAUGGAUUUGAGUAAGAGCAUAGCUGUUGGGACCCGAAAGAUGGUGAACUAUGCCUGAAUAGGGUGAAGCCAGGGGAAACCCUGGUGGAGGCUCGCAGCGGUUCUGACGUGCAAAUCGAUCGUCAAAUUUGGGCAUAG
rnacentral:rRNA from 1 species